UUCAGACCAUUGUUCACCAGCUUAAACCCUAAUUAGAACCCGAGAGAGAGAGAGAGCUCACCAGACUCAUUCAAUCCAAAAUCUCUACUCUCUCCUCCGAGCUCAGUGGUAAAAGUGUUUGCAGAGAACACCAUUGAUGCGAUGGAGAAAAGCUUCACUCUCAUUCAAACAAUUGCCACAGCAGGAGUCUUCUCUGCUGUUUCCUUCUGGUACGGUUUUAUGUUUGGCAGAGAAUCUGCCCGCAAGGAGCUCGGGGAUUUGAUCGAAAAACUUCGCAGUGGAAAAUCGGAAACUGGUUCUCCACCACAUUCGUGAAAUUAGCGUUCUGGAGGUGAUUUUAUUGAUUUUGAAAGCAAAGAUCUUUAGCAAUUGGGCUUUCAAGAAUGGAGUGAAUAAUUUCAGUGUGAUGAAGAUUGAAUAAUGGAAAGAGUAAUUUUUUAAAAGUCAGCAAGAAGAAAAAUUUGUAUCGAAAAAGGAAGGAAGGGUUGUUUUCUAAGUCCUUUUCAUGAGGCGGGUUUGGUUAGUGGCAUGCUGGUGUGGUGACUACUGGGUUUGAAACUUAUGCUGUGGGAUCUGGUCGGAGUUGUACUCGAGCUCAACAUCAAGAGUUGAAGGCCCAUAUUGCAUCCCAACUGCGCAUCUGUCAUUUGAUGAAUUUUUGAAGUUUGGGUUGAAAUUAUGGUCACUGAGAUUGGACUGUUUAGUACAGGAUUAAACUUAGGUUGACAGCAUGAAGUGGACUGUAAGAAAGGGGUCUGAUGUGUUUCUUCCAAAAAAGGUCAGGGGUCCUAUUGCUGAAGCUACUUAGAUAUUUGCUGAUGUUCUCUCAGUGACCACAAUCAAUGUAUGUUUGAUGUUUUGUUAUGUUACCUUGAUUGACAAGUAAAUUUUACUGCAUAUGAUUUUUUUCUUUUCAAUUUUUGAUUUUGUUGACCCUACAUACAGAAUCCUGGUGAACGGUACUGUUUGGUGGAAAAUUAGUUGAUGGUUAAACAAAUAUGACAAAGAAAAUAUGCUUGUGCUUCAAAAGCAUUAAUCUAUGGAAUGUGAUUGGGCUUCAAUUGUUUUUA